UACGUAGGGACCGAGCGUUGUCCGGAUUCAUUGGGCGUAAAGAGCUCGUAGGCGGCCACUCAAGUCGAAUGUGAAACCUCGAGGCUCAACCUCGAGCCUGCAUUCGAUACUGGGCGGCUAGAGUCUGGUAGGGGGAUCGUGGAAUUCCUGGUGUAGCGGUGGAAUGCGCAGAUAUCAGGAGGAACACCUGCGGUGUAGACGGCUUACUGGACCAUAACUGACGCUGAGGCACGAAAGCGUGGGUAGCAAACAGG
rnacentral:rRNA from 1 species